rnacentral:misc_RNA from 1 species
AAGACUAUAGACCUGCGGAGUACCUGCGGAGGGAUCAUUAUUGGAUUGAGGGUCACGAGCUUGCUCGGACCCGUACAAUCAAUAACCUCUUGUGAACCUGUCGGCCCUCGGGCCUUCAAACUCCAAACUUUGUGUGUUGUAUGAACGUCAUGUCUAAAAACAUAACACAACUUUUAGCAACGGAUCUCU